rnacentral:rRNA from 1 species
CCUACGGGAGGCAGCAGUGGGGAAUUUUCCGCAAUGGGCGAAAGCCUGACGGAGUGACGCCGCGUGUGGGAUGAAGGCCUUCGGGUCGUAAACCACUGUCAGUGGGAAAGAAGGGUAUCGGCGUGAUAACCGCCGGUAUUUGACGGUACCUGCAGAGGAAGCCCCGGCUAACUCUGUGCCAGCAGCCGCGGUAAGACAGAGGGGCCAAGCGUUGCUCGGAAUUACUGGGCGUAAAGGGCGCGUAGGCGGGAUGGCAAGUCGGUCGUGAAAUCCCUCGGCUCAACCGAGGAGCGUCGAUCGAUACUGCCGUUCUUGAGGGUUGCAGAGGAGACUGGAAUUCCCGGUGUAGCGGUGAAAUGUGUAGAGAUCGGAAGGAACACCGGUGGCGAAGGCGGGUCUCUGGGCAAUUCCUGACGCUGAGGCGCGAAAGCGUGGGGGGCAAACGGGAUUAGAUACCCCGGUAGUCCACGCUGUAAACGAUGAGCACUAGGUGUGGGGGGGUUCAGUCCCUUCCGUGCCGCAGCUAACGCAUCAAGUGCUCCGCCUGGGGAGUACGGCCGCAAGGUUGAAACUCAAAGGAAUUGACGG